rnacentral:rRNA from 1 species
UACGGAGGGGGUUAGCGUUGUUCGGAAUUACUGGGCGUAAAGCGCGCGUAGGCGGAUUAGAAAGUUGGAGGUGAAAUCCCGGGGCUCAACCUCGGAACUGCCUCCAAAACUGCUAGUCUAGAGUUCGAGAGAGGUGAGUGGAAUUCCGAGUGUAGAGGUGAAAUUCGUAGAUAUUCGGAGGAACACCAGUGGCGAAGGCGGCUCACUGGCUCGAUACUGACGCUGAGGUGCGAAAGUGUGGGGAGCAAACAGG